rnacentral:rRNA from 1 species
GGUGAACGCUGGCGGCAUGUUUAAGGCAUGCAAGUCGAACGUGUUUCGCAAGAAACGCGUGGCAAACGGGAGAGUAACACAUUGGUAACUUACCUUUAUCUUGGGUAUAACCCGGAGAAAUCUGGGACAAUCCCCAAUAGUCAUGGGGGGACGAUAGUCAUUCCCAUGUAAAGUUUUUUCGGAUAAAGAGAGGCCUAUGGCUCAUCAGCUAGUUGGUAGGGUAAUGGCCUACCAAGGCUACGACGAGUAGCAGGUGUGAGAGCACGACCUGCCCCACUGGGACUGAGACACUGCCCAGACUCCUACGGGAGGCUGCAGUCAAGAAUCUUCCUCAAUGGACGAAAAGUCUGAAGGAGCAAAUGCCGCGUGAUCGAUGAAGCCCCUCGGGGUGUAAAGGAUCUUUAUCAGGGACGAAUUUGUGACGGUACCUGAUGAAUAAGUCACUGCUAACUUCGUG